rnacentral:rRNA from 1 species
AUUGAACGCUGGCGGCAGGCCUAACACAUGCAAGUCGAGCGGUAGAGAGGUGCUUGCAUCUCUUGAGAGCGGCGGACGGGUGAGUAAUGCCUAGGAAUCUGCCUAGUGGUGGGGGAUAACGUUCGGAAACGGACGCUAAUACCGCAUACGUCCUACGGGAGAAAGCGGGGGAUCUUCGGACCUCGCGCCAUUAGAUGAGCCUAGGUCGGAUUAGCUAGUUGGUGAGGUAAUGGCUCACCAAGGCGACGAUCCGUAACUGGUCUGAGAGGAUGAUCAGUCACACUGGAACUGAGACACGGUCCAGACUCCUACGGGAGGCAGCAGUGGGGAAUAUUGGACAAUGGGCGAAAGCCUGAUCCAGCCAUGCCGCGUGUGUGAAGAAGGCCUC